AUUCCUCUCAAUCAAUAAAAAACAAAAUGAUAUACAUUUUGUUAUAAAACUAUGCAUUGCUUAAAUUUCGGGAUACUUUUUUUUUCCUUUUUCUUUUUUUUUCUUUUUCUUCUUUUUUCUUUUUAAUAAUGGAAGUGCAUUUGUCAAUACGUAACGCUACUCUGAGCUGUAAGCAAUUACACUAUCCUAUUGUUAGAGAGAUACACAAUAAUUCACUAUGUAAUACAUAUGCAUGUAUGUAUGUAUGUAUAUAUAAUGAUAAUAAUAAUAAAACACACACGCGCGCGCACACACACACACACAUACAUAUAUAUGUAAAAUGGGCUUUGGUCUGGAGUGGUGCGGGCUGAUAUUGAUUUAAACAAAAUUUUUUCUUUUUUUUUUUUCUUUUUUUUUUUUUAAAUAGUCAGUGUCACAUUCUUCGACUAGUUUAUGUGAAUAUAAUGUAGACAGUACCUUGUACUUGUCACUCAGUUUGAGCGCAAGCACGAGUCUUCCAUCGCUGCGGCGUGCAAUAACGUGCGUGCGUGAACACAGGAACCAAGUUUUUCCGGAGUACUACUAGAUUGAGAGGAUGUCCAUGGGCCUGGCGGUGCUCCACCUUCUUGAUUUCUCCAAGGUCCUUCGGGACCGUGCAUAGCUGGCGGACCCAUAGGACCGAACGCUCUCAUGUGUGGACCUGGUGGGCCGCGUACAUCAUCAAAUGGUGGCCGGAAGAAUGGAUCAGCUUCUCUAGGAUCGAACGGUGGGGGUCCGCGUGGUCCGAACGGAGGCCGAAUUCUCAUUCCUCGUGGACCCAUACCUCGAGGAUGGAAGAUUAAAGGUCCUGAAGCAGUACGUGUUUAGAAAGUGCUCAACAAUAAAUGACAAAUAUAUAUACGCAUAUA